UCCCUUCUCUCUCCCAUUCUCCGUUAACUCUCCUCCGUUAGUGCUCAAAUAUUCACUUUUCACCUCCUGGUUUCUCUCUCCUUUACUCCUCCCGCUCAAAAUUCCUCCCGCUCGCGACUUCCUCUUCCUUCCUCCCCGACUUCCUCUUCCUUCCUCCCCGACUUCGCAUCCUUUGGUCGUGAACCCGCCGCGCCUACACCGGUUGCCUCCGCCGUCCCCUUCUAGAAAACCCAUUUGCUCUCUCUCUCUUUCCUCCGCGAAGCGCGGCUCUUUUUGUGGACCGCGCCUCUGCCUCCGCCGGUUUCCUCCGUCGUCGCCUCCCGGAGCCCAUCGGUGGCUCAGAUCCUGACCACACGGCCGCCUCCGCCUACGCCGUCGCCGUCUCCUCCGAAGCCCUCCAUUGGCGAUUCGUCCUCUGCCACUCUCUCUAUCCCGAGAAAUGGCUCCGCUCUGCUCUCUGUGACGAACCGCGCCUCUGCCGUCGCCUCCCGCAGCCCCUUUGGAGAUCUCGGGCUCCGACUCGCCCUCUGCGUUACCUCCCGAAGCCCCAUUCUCAGGUUAGGGUUUUGUAUGACUUGAAAUUCCCAUCGUUUUUGCCCUAACGUGAAGAUUGGUGGCUCAGAUCUCGACCACGCGGCCGCCUCCGCCUACGCCGUCGCCUCCGAAGCCCCCAUUGGCGAUUCGUCCUCUGCCCCUCUCUCUUUGUCCCGAGAAACGGCUUUGUUCGGCUCUCUAUAACGAACCGCGCCACCAACAGGUUCCCUAUUAUUGUGUUUUUUUUGGCGUUCGGGCAGAUUGUCGGAUUGGUCGUGCUUAAUUUGUCAAAUAGUCAGCUUGAGGUUCGUUUGGUGAAUGGGUGAUAAUGCUUGUGCUUGUUAUGACUGUGUGGUAAAUGAAAGAUGUGGCCUGUGCUCAUUCUUACGCUCUCUAUUGAUUUUGGUUGAAAGAACAUCAGGCAUUUUUCUUGAGUGCAAUCUGUGGAUAAUGCCACAGACAACCAUUUUUGUUCUUGUGCGGGAGAGAAUAGAUGCAAGCAUCAUAGGUUGUCUCUUCAUUGGAUUUCAUCUGCAAAAAUAUAAAAGGGAUCUUUUCAGUUGCAUUGCUUUGAGAUUAUUGAGCUCUAUUAGUUAAGUGCAUCAAUUAGUCUAUUUUCUGCAAACUGAUUAUGUUCACGUCCGACAUUUUUGUUAAUUGUAGUCAAUUCAAGUGUGGAUCUAAUUAUGUUUAAAUAACUGGCUUUUUUAUAUUUUUUUAUCUUGAGUUCCCCUUGCAGUUUGGUUUCGUGAUCAAUGAGCGGCCGAGGAUCAAUAAGAACAAGCACAAGGAUCUCCUGCAUGCAUUGAAAUAUUGCUUGAAGUCUGAUGAUGCGAUUCACUAUGCACAAUAUGUUUUGAGGUGGGAAGAAAUGCUUGCUGUUGAACGUGCUCAUUUGUCGCGGGAGAAACAGGCAAUUUUUUAACUCUUCCUUUUAUUGCCAAAGUUCAAUAUCCUGAUCAUUUCUCUUGUGAGAAAUCCAUAAUAUAGGAUGUAUUUGCAAGCAAUGUACUGCAACCUAUUUGGGCUACUAUGUUUAU